rnacentral:rRNA from 1 species
UGCGUAGGCGGUUUGGAAAGUCAGAUGUGAAAGCCUAUGGCUUAACCAUAGAACUGCAUUUGAAACUUCCAGACUAGAAUACUGAAGGGGCAGAUGGAAUUAGUGGUGUAGGGGUAAAAUCCGUAGAUAUCACUAGGAAUACCGAAAGCGAAAGCGAUCUGCUGGGAAGUUAUUGACGCUGAGGCACGAAAGCGUGGGAGCAAAC